UACGUAGGGUGCGAGCGUUGUCCGGAAUUACUGGGCGUAAAGAGCUCGUAGGUGGUUUGUCGCGUUGUUCGUGAAAUCUCACGGCUUAACUGUGAGCGUGCGGGCGAUACGGGCAGACUGGAGUACUGCAGGGGAGACUGGAAUUCCUUGUGUAGCGGUGGAAUGCGCAGAUAUCAGGAGGAACACCGGUGGCGAAGGCGGGUCUCUGGGCAGUAACUGACGCUGAGGAGCGAAAGCGUGGGGAGCGAACAGG
rnacentral:rRNA from 1 species